UAAGAUGGGCAUCUUUACACAGAAGAAAUC
rnacentral:piRNA from 1 species